rnacentral:tRNA from 1 species
GGACGGUUAGCUCAGCGGUAGAGCAUCCGCCUUACAAGCGGAGGGUCACUGGUUCGAACCCAGUACCGUCCA